GGGUUGUGAGGUUAAGCGACUAAGCGUACACGGUGGAUGCCCUGGCAGUCAGAGGCGAUGAAGGACGUGCUAAUCUGCGAAAAGCGUCGGUAAGGUGAUAUGAACCGUUAUAGCCGGCGAUGUCCGAAUGGGGAAACCCAGUGUGAUUCGUCACACUAUCGUUAACUGAAUACAUAGGUUAACGAGGCGAACCGGGGGAACUGAAACAUCUAAGUACCCCGAGGAAAAGAAAUCAACCGAGAUUCCCCCAGUAGCGGCGAGCGAACGGGGAGCAGCCCAGAGUCUGAAUCAGCUUGUGUGUUAGUGGAACGGUCUGGAAAGUCCGACGGUACAGGGUGAUAGUCCCGUACACCAAAAUGCACAGGUUGUGAACUCGAAGAGUAGGGCGGGACACGUGGUAUCCUGUCUGAAUAUGGGGGGACCAUCCUCCAAGGCUAAAUACUCCUGACUGACCGAUAGUGAACCAGUACCGUGAGGGAAAGGCGAAAAGAACCCCGGCGAGGGGAGUGAAAAAGAACCUGAAACCGUGUACGUACAAGCAGUGGGAGCACCUUCGGGUGUGACUGCGUACCUUUUGUAUAAUGGGUCAGCGACUUAUAUUCUGUAGCAAGGUUAACCGUAUAGGGGAGCCGCAGGGAAACCGAGUCUUAACUGGGCGUUAAGUUGCAGGGUAUAGACCCGAAACCCGGUGAUCUAGCCAUGGGCAGGUUGAAGGUUGGGUAACACUAACUGGAGGACCGAACCGACUAAUGUUGAAAAAUUAGCGGAUGACUUGUGGCUGGGGGUGAAAGGCCAAUCAAACCGGGAGAUAGCUGGUUCUCCCCGAAAGCUAUUUAGGUAGCGCCUCGUGAAUUCAUCUUCGGGGGUAGAGCACUGUUUCGGCUAGGGGGUCAUCCCGACUUACCAACCCGAUGCAAACUACGAAUACCGAAGAAUGUUAUCACGGGAGACACACGGCGGGUGCUAACGUCCGUCGUGAAGAGGGAAACAACCCAGACCGCCAGCUAAGGUCCCAAAGUCAUGGUUAAGUGGGAAACGAUGUGGGAAGGCACAGACAGCCAGGAUGUUGGCUUAGAAGCAGCCAUCAUUUAAAGAAAGCGUAAUAGCUCACUGGUCGAGUCGGCCUGCGCGGAAGAUGUAACGGGGCUAAACCAUGCACCGAAGCUGCGGCAGCGACACGAUGUGUUGUUGGGUAGGGGAGCGUUCUGUAAGCCUGCGAAGGUGGCCUGUGAGGGUUGCUGGAGGUAUCAGAAGUGCGAAUGCUGACAUAAGUAACGAUAAAGCGGGUGAAAAGCCCGCUCGCCGGAAGACCAAGGGUUCCUGUCCAACGUUAAUCGGGGCAGGGUGAGUCGACCCCUAAGGCGAGGCCGAAAGGCGUAGUCGAUGGGAAACAGGUUAAUAUUCCUGUACUUGGUGUUACUGCGAAGGGGGGACGGAGAAGGCUAUGUUGGCCGGGCGACGGUUGUCCCGGUUUAAGCAUGUAGGCGGAUGUUCCAGGUAAAUCCGGAACGUUAUUAACGCUGAGGUGUGAUGACGAGGCACUACGGUGCUGAAGUGACAAAUGCCCUGCUUCCAGGAAAAGCCUCUAAGCAUCAGGUAACAUCAAAUCGUACCCCAAACCGACACAGGUGGUCAGGUAGAGAAUACCAAGGCGCUUGAGAGAACUCGGGUGAAGGAACUAGGCAAAAUGGUGCCGUAACUUCGGGAGAAGGCACGCUGAUGGUAGGUGAAGUGACUUGCUCACGGAGCUGAAAUCAGUCGAAGAUACCAGCUGGCUGCAACUGUUUAUUAAAAACACAGCACUGUGCAAACACGAAAGUGGACGUAUACGGUGUGACGCCUGCCCGGUGCCGGAAGGUUAAUUGAUGGGGUUAUCCGUAAGGAGAAGCUCUUGAUCGAAGCCCCGGUAAACGGCGGCCGUAACUAUAACGGUCCUAAGGUAGCGAAAUUCCUUGUCGGGUAAGUUCCGACCUGCACGAAUGGCGUAAUGAUGGCCAGGCUGUCUCCACCCGAGACUCAGUGAAAUUGAACUCGCUGUGAAGAUGCAGUGUACCCGCGGCAAGACGGAAAGACCCCGUGAACCUUUACUAUAGCUUGACACUGAACAUUGAGCCUUGAUGUGUAGGAUAGGUGGGAGGCUUUGAAGCGUGGACGCCAGUCUGCGUGGAGCCAACCUUGAAAUACCACCCUUUAAUGUUUGAUGUUCUAACGUGGGCCCCUAAUCGGGGUUGCGGACAGUGUCUGGUGGGUAGUUUGACUGGGGCGGUCUCCUCCCAAAGCGUAACGGAGGAGCACGAAGGUUAGCUAAUCCUGGUCGGACAUCAGGAGGUUAGUGCAAUGGCAUAAGCUAGCUUGACUGCGAGCGUGACGGCGCGAGCAGGUGCGAAAGCAGGUCAUAGUGAUCCGGUGGUUCUGAAUGGAAGGGCCAUCGCUCAACGGAUAAAAGGUACUCCGGGGAUAACAGGCUGAUACCGCCCAAGAGUUCAUAUCGACGGCGGUGUUUGGCACCUCGAUGUCGGCUCAUCACAUCCUGGGGCUGAAGUAGGUCCCAAGGGUAUGGCUGUUCGCCAUUUAAAGUGGUACGCGAGCUGGGUUUAGAACGUCGUGAGACAGUUCGGUCCCUAUCUGCCGUGGGCGCUGGAGAAUUGAGGGGGGCUGCUCCUAGUACGAGAGGACCGGAGUGGACGCAUCACUGGUGUUCGGGUUGUCAUGCCAAUGGCACUGCCCGGUAGCUAAAUGCGGAAGAGAUAAGUGCUGAAAGCAUCUAAGCACGAAACUUGCCCCGAGAUGAGUUCUCCCUGAGACUUUAAGUCUCCUGAAGGAACGUUGAAGACGACGACGUUGAUAGGCCGGGUGUGUAAGCGCAGCGAUGCGUUGAGCUAACCGGUACUAAUGAACCGUGAGGCUUAACCUUACAACGCCGAAG
rnacentral:rRNA from 2 species